ensembl:lncRNA
CCAUAACCUAGCAGUGAAUAUUACAGCCAUGAGAUUUAGGCACUGAUUUGAAGGAGUUAAAUUCCCAGGCUGCCUUUUCAGAGCAGGGUGGGGCACUGGAGAAGCCAGAGAGGGGGAAAAGAGGCACCUGAGAGCCCUGGGAAGGAGCAGCAACACCUGUAGACCAAGUUCCUUUCCACUCCCCUACGCUUUGAUGCAGAUCAUCUCCAGCUGAGCAUCUGCCAGAGUCCUUGGCUGUGCUGUGCUGCUUUGUGCACCCCUAGGCGUGGGGUGACCUACCCGCACAGCCCUGUCUGCACCAGGAAGCAAGUGCCACGUCCCCCACUUGCCUCGCCUCUAACUGCCUAUCCCUGUUGCUGUGGCUGCGCAUGGGUUGGCCAGGGGGACAUGGGCAUCCUCCCCGAAUCAGAGUGGGCGUCCUGGACAACGUUUUUUGAGGGCACCUUCUCCAGCUCCUGGUACAGCAAACACAAGGCCCACGAGUGUGACAGUGGGGUCCAGCAACUGAGCAUGUUGAGAAGACUCUUCUGUGCACAUCAAGGGAAGAGUUAGCUACAGCUAACAGAAGAUUCAUUGAGAGGGGAUGAGAGACUAGUCUGCCUCUGUUGGAAAGUGAUGCUGGAGAGGUGUGUGCUGGAAAGGGCAUAUCGUUGCCCUGCUCCUCACAGCUGGUAUAGGAGAUUUUUACUGUUGCUGUCCAGGCUUUGCGUGUCUUUGUACUCCAGCAAGGCUUGUACUAAAAUACCAGAAGGGAACAAGCUAGGUGUGUUUUGUUCCGAGGCAUGUCUGUGUGUACAGGCAGAGUGAGGCACUCUGUUUCUUCUCCUGCAACCUAACAUUACACUUAACAGCAUGAUUUAUUCAGUCGUUCAGAUAGCUCCCUACUGAGUUUGCCAGUGUUUCUGAGUACGGACAGAGCUACUCCAUCUUCUAGAGCAUGAACUGUCCCCAUGAAUCUUGUGUGUGCUCCAUGCUGUGAUCUACCUCCUCCUCAGCUUUCUGGACAGUCGGUUGUCUAGAGAGACACGUCUAACAGGUGGAGCAUCUCACUAUGAGCCAUGCUAUUAUUUCUGGGAAUUAAUGUACAGAAUGUUUUAGUGGUUGGGAUUGUUACCUUGCCUUUUAUACCAGAAGCAAGGCAGGGCCAGACUGGAAUACAAAAAAGCCAGUUCAGGUGCAGCAGCAGAGGGGUAUCCCUCAGCCAGUUGGCCUUUUUGUGGGAGAAGCUGGUCAGACAUCCUUGUUUCUCCUGAGGAACCUGAAAACUGACAAAGUUAAGCAAUCCUUUUCUUGCUUUUCUGGGUAUGUAAUUUCUGUAGUUGCCAUGGAGAUGUUAUGUGAUGGUCCUUGAGAAAAUCCUUCUAUUAAGAUGUUAUCAACUAUGAUUGAAAUUUUUAGAGCCUCUAUUGUGCAUACACUGGAGAGGCUUUUAUUUGCAAUCUAACAGGUGAUAUUAAAACAUGAAAUGCUCUCUGAUUAUGCAGCACGGUGUCUCAGUCUCUUCAUCUGAGGAACAGUGUAAAAAUCCAUUCUGUCCCUUCCCCGUUAUCUC